UUCCGAAGAAAGUUUUUUGAUAGGUUGGCAGUUAUUAUGCGAAAGGUACAACAACCCGAAAUCAUUAAUCAAUAAUCAUUUGAAAGAAUUAUUUAACAUCGAUUAUGUCCCCACAACUGCCGCAGCUUUAAGAAAAUUAUCCGAUAACAUUUCUAAAAAUCUUAGAAUAAUAAGAUCACUGAAUAUUCCAACCGAUAACUGGGAUAUGUUAGUGAUAUUUUUUCUAAGCCAAAAACUCGAUAAAAAAUUGCAAAGUAAAUGGGACAAAGUAGCCAACCGGACCUCUAGAAUUGACUCUGGUGAAUUGCCUACAUUACAGGAUUUCCGGACCUUUCUGAAGGACCAAGCGGACCAUCUGGAGUCGCUGGACCCUGGCAAGCCUCAUGGACCCAGUGACGCCCAAAUUAUACCCGCGAGGAAGGCCUUCGUAACUACGUCUUCCCACACCGGCACCGCAAGUCCCACGAGUUCAAGGUUUCAGGUCUAGAAACUCAGCUCUUCCUGUCUGCGCUGCGAAGGUUUACGUCCAGGCGAGGUAUACCAAAAACAAUACUGCAGCAGAUCCAAUGCGACUUCUGGAGAAGAUGGUCAAGAGACUACAUAGGACUGCUUCAAGAACGCACGAAAUGGAGAAGCUGCAAGGGUGCCGGACUUGACGUGGGUACCAUUGUGCUGAUCAAAGAUGACCGACUGCCGCCCUGCCAGUGGAGGCUGGGACGCAUCGUCGGCUGCUGCCCGGGUCGCGACGGCAUCACGCGGGUCGCAGAGAUGCGCAGGGCGCGUGGAAUAAUCAAGAGAGCAUUCAACAAUAUCUGUCCAUUACCGAUUACAUGUUAAAAUGCCUUUUAUU